UAGGGAAUCUUCCGCAAUGGGCGAAAGCCUGACGGAGCAACGCCGCGUGAGUGAUGAAGGUCUUCGGAUCGUAAAACUCUGUUAUUAGGGAAGAACAAAUGUGUAAGUAACUAUGCACGUCUUGACGGUACCUAAUCAGAAAGCCACGGCUAACUACGUGCCAGCAGCCGCGGUAAUACGUAGGUGGCAAGCGUUAUCCGGAGUUAUUGGGCGUAAAGCGCGCGUAGGCGGUUUUUUAAGUCUGAUGUGAAAGCCCACGGCUCAACCGUUGAGGGUCAUUGGGAGCUGGAAAACUUGAGUGCAGAAGGGGAAAGUGGAAUUCCAUGUGUAGCGGUGAAAUGCGCAGAAGUAUGGGGGAACACCAGUGGCGGAGGCGACUUUCUGGUCUGUAACUGACGCUGCUGUGCGAAGGCGUGGGGAUCAAACAGG
rnacentral:rRNA from 1 species